GACGGAGGAGGCAAGCGUUAUCCGGAAUCAUUGGGCGUAAAGCGUCCGUAGGUGGCUUGGUAAGUCGGCUGUCAAAUCACAUGGCUCAACCAUGUAACGGCAGUGGAAACUGCUAGGCUAGAGUGCGGUAGGGGUAGCGGGAAUUCCCGGUGUAGCGGUGAAAUGCGUAGAUACUGGGAAGAACAUCGGUGGCGAAAGCGCGCUACUGGGUCGCAACUGACACUGAGGGACGAAAGCUAGGGUAGCGAAUGGG
rnacentral:rRNA from 1 species